rnacentral:rRNA from 1 species
CGGCCACCGCUAUAGGAAUUCGAUUAAGACAUGCGAGUCGAGAGUCGUUAUGGACUCGGCGGACUGCUCAGUAACACGUGGAUAACGUGCCCUUAAGAGGAGGAUAAUCUCGGGAAAUUGAGGAUAAUACUCCAUAGAUCACGGGAUCUGGAAUGACCUGUGGUUCAAAGUUCCGGCGCUUAAGGAUCGGUCUGCGGCCUAUCAGGUAGUAGUGGGUUUAACAUACCUACUAGCCUACGACGGGUAUGGGCCUUGAGAGAGGGAGCCCAGAGUUGGAUUCUGAGACACGAAUCCAGGCCCUACGGGGCGCAGCAGUCGCGAAAACUUCACAAUGGGGGCAACCCCGAUGAGGGAAUUCCUAGUGCUAGCACAAUUGUGUUAGCUUUUCUUUCAGCAUAGAACACUGAAGGAAUAAGGGCUGGGUAAGACGGGUGCCAGCCGCCGCGGUAAUACCCGCAGCCCAAGUGGUGUCGAUUUUAUUGAGUCUAAAACGUUCGUAGCCGGUUCGGUAAAUCUUUGGGUAAAUCGGGGGGCUUAACUUUUCGACUUCCGAGGAGACUGCCGAACUUGGGACCGGGAGAGGCAAGAGGUACUUCUGGGGUAGGGGUAAAAUCCUGU